GUGAGAUUUAGUUGUUUUUGAAGCUUAAAAGUAGUAUAUUGUGAUUCUACAUGUUGAGGGCUUUAAAUUGAUAUAUUAUACGAAGAAAAUGGUUGAGAAACGAAGGAGAACGAGGCAUUUGAAAAUUGCCCAGAAUCCGGCCACCGGAGAAAAACCAGUCCGGCGAACUCGCGAGGAAGAAGGUGCGCGUGGGCGCGCGUGG
rnacentral:lncRNA from 1 species